AUUACAGUGCUGUGUGUGGUACAGUCCACAGUGACACAUUCUCACCCAAAGUCUACACUUCACAUUAGUGUUCAUUAUUUCUUCCUUGUUCUUCUUUAUUAAAUCAGGCUACCUUUCAACUUGCCCUCCCAAUAGUCUUCCAAAUGCUGCAGUUGUAUGUGUGCCCACUAUACCAAACUGGGGUUCAUAUUUUGUGCCUUACAUUUGGUAAGUAUUGACAAAUAUGUAAUGACCUCACUGAAAUACCAUACAGAGUAUUUCACAGCCCCUAGUCCUCCACAUUCUUCCUAGUCACCUCUGUCAAGUGGUGGCCUUCCACUGUUCUCCAUGGAAUAGUCAAGUGGUGGCCUUCCACUGUUCUCCAUGGAAUAGUCAAGUGGUGGCCUUCCACUGUUCUCCAUGGAAGUUCCUUUGCAGUUUUUAAUCCAGUCAAUCAGUUUGCAUCUCCGUUUUUUGUUUGUUUGUUUGUUUGUUUGUUUUUUUGUCAAGUUGAGGCCAUUACUUGUAGAUUAUCAUUGAAAAAUAUCGACAAUUUUUUGUCAUUUUUGUUGGUUGGAUUAUUGUUUGUUCUUUAUAUUGUCCCACAUUAGUAUCUGGUUUACUUUGUUGGAUAUAACGGGCUCCUUCCAGCUCUCCUUUGUUCAGCUAGCCUGUUCAUUAAAUCUAUUCUUUCCUGUGUGGCCAUGUGAUUGAAAUUUCUUCUUUUGCUUGCAGUAUUCCUUUAGUGUCUUCUGCAGUGCUGGCUUGGUGGUCAGGGACUCCUUCAGUGUGGUUAUGUUGAAAUGUCCUUAUUUGUUUUCAAAUUCAGAAGACCACUUUGCUUGCAUAGUAGUCUUGACUAGCAAUUACCUGCUUUUGAGACUUGAAUUACAUCAUUUCAUGAUUUCUUGGUUCACGGUUGCUGAUAGUACUCUGGUGCUUUGCUUUUGUAGGUGAGUUGGUGUUUUCCUUAUAUAGCAUCUAAUACUGUUUCUUUGCUUUGUAUCUUUGACAUCUUGACUAUAAGAUGUCAUGGAGAGGUUCUUCCCUGAUUUCGUUAGUUUGGGAUUUUGAAUGUCACUUAUGUUUGAAUGUUUGUUUCUUCUUCUGGGCUUGGGGAAGCUUCUGCCUUAAUGUUGAAUGGAAAUGCUGUACCUUUGGUGUUUACUUCACUAGUCCUGUGGGUUCUUGGGUUUGGUCUUCCUUGAACAUUGUGGUUAUGAUAAUUUACUUUUUGCUUAUUGGUGCCUAUAUGUAUUAUUUCUCCUCUCCUCUCCAUCCUGAUAUUCUUUCUUCUGUUUUUUCGAGUCCAUUGUCCAUGCUUCUUAUUAUGCGCUUUUGGUUUUGUUUUCAUUUUCAACCCCUUUGCCCCUCCUCUUCUCAGCUUCAUUGGUAAGUUUCCUUUCAUCUUGCUGAGUUUUUUCAUCUAUUUUGCUGCCUUUUUCUUUUGUAUUGAUGACUUUCUCUGUAGGUCCUGUAUUGGAUUAAUUUUCGCAUUGAAUAUUUACUUUCAGGUCAUUGAUCAUUUUUUUUAAUAAGAAAACUUUGAAAUACUCAUCUGAUAUUUUACCUAUCUCAGAGCGUUGCAUUACUUUUUAAUGUUUCUUGUGUUUUGUGUUGUAAGCUACACAUCUUCUGGUUUAUAUGUCUCUUCUGGAUUUUGGAGAUGUAGUGGUGGUAGUGAUGGUGGUGAAUUUCAUCAAUAGCUUAGACCGUAGGGAAAGUAAGUGCUACAAAUUCACUGAUCUCUUUGCCAGUCUCCAUAAAGUCUGAAACCUCAGAAAGCUGACCGGACACAUGAUCUUCUUUCCUUUGUGAUUUUUAUUACAUGUAAUAGUUUUUUUUUUCUACUAUGGUAUAAGAUAGUAUAGAAGUUACUUAAAAAAUUAAAAAUAGAACAUUAUUGAAUCUAACUAUACCACACUUGGGCAUAUAGACCCAGAAGACAUCAGUAAAGGUAUUUGCACAUCCAAGGUUAUUGUUGUACUUGCAUGGUAGGUUCAAAAAGGAAGAAUGCUAGAUAUCUAUCAACAGGUGAAUUGAUAAAGUAAGUAUGGAACAUAUUUACAGUAGCAUUUAUUCAACCUUAAAAAUGAAUAAAGUCAUUACAUUUAAAAGGAAAAUUAUGGAUUUGGAAAUUGUUAAAUUAUGUGACUAAAGCCAUGGUCAUAAGUAUAAAUAUCAUAUGUAGCUGGCAUCCAUUCUUUCUCUCUCCCCAAUCACAUGAAAGUAGAAAGUAGCCAAGAGAGGGAAGAAAGUGAGGGAGCUGGAAAAGAGGGGGGUAAUGAAACAUACAUAUGAAUAUAGAAAUAAAGAUUGUUUUAAGAUAAGGAACAAGAGGAGACAGAUAGAGGGGAUGGGGGUAUUAGCUUGUUAGGGGGAUGAAUAGGAAUAAAAUAUAUGUAUGAAAAUGUAAUAAUGUUCUAACUUGAACAAUUAAUAAAAAGUUUACUAAGUCUUAUAACU
rnacentral:lncRNA from 1 species